rnacentral:lncRNA from 1 species
CCCGGGCGCGAAGCGGCCGCUGCGGCCUGUCCCGGCCCGCCGAGCCGAGCCGAGCCGAGCCGAGCCGAGCCGAGCCGAGCCGAGCGGGGCGGCCUCAGCCUCAGCCUCGGCCUCGGCGCCUUCCUGCCGGGCCCGGGGGUCGCGGGGCCGCUCGGGAGCCCGGGGCGUUUUCUCUGCUGACACCGCUGAGAGGAUUUCUGCCCGCUUUGGACAGACUGCAGGCUGUGCUGAUUGAUCAGAMUACAUCCUCCUCACUAACCAGAAUCUACGUUAGAAAAGUCUCAGGUAACCACUGAGGUACUUCUGUAAAAUUUUCUUGAAACACUUGGUCAAAACUUCUGCUGAAGACAGACCUAACAGGACAGAAGUUCUUCUGUUGCCCCGUGGUACACCUAUGAAG